CGUCCAGACUCCUACGGGAGGCAGCAGUGAGGAAUAUUGGUCAAUGGGCGGGAGCCUGAACCAGCCAUGCCGCGUGAAGGCGAGUGCCCUACGGGCGUUAAACUUCUUUUGUGCGGGAGCAAUAAGGGCCACGUGUGGCCCGAUGAGAGUACCGCACGAAUAAGCAUCGGCUAACUCCGUGCCAGCAGCCGCGGUAAUACGGGGGAUGCGAGCGUUAUCCGGAUUUAUUGGGUUUAAAGGGUGCGUAGGCGGCGCUUCAGGUCAGCGGUGAAAUACCGGGGCUCAACCCCGGGGCUGCCGUUGAAACUGGUUUUCUUGAGUGAGUGAGAAGUAUGCGGAAUGCGUGGUGUAGCGGUGAAAUGCAUAGAUAUCACGCAGAACUCCGAUUGCGAAGGCAGCAUACCGGCGCUCAACUGACGCUCAUGCACGAAAGUGUGGGUAUCGAACAGGAUUAGAUACCCUCGUAAA
rnacentral:rRNA from 1 species